GGAUUUUUUCCGCUAAAUUUGGCUGGGAAAAUUCUCCGCUAAAUUUGGCGGGGAAAUUUUUCCGCAAAAUUUAGCGGGGAUUUUUUUCGCUAAAUUUAGCGGAGAAAUUU
rnacentral:pre_miRNA from 1 species